ensembl:lncRNA
GACUAGGUGCUUACCAGGUACAAAUCAUAUUGUUUUAUCUGUGGCAUACGUCAGUGCAGCUCAUUUUUAAUCAGCUUUAACUAUAGAAGACGGUCAUUUACUGUUGCAGUUUACUAUCAUCAUAACCCAGAAAAAUCCACAAAGAAAUUAUGUUUGUGGAAAUAUAAAUCCAACAUAUAGACCUUUGUUGCCAAAUAGGAGCUGAAGAGAGCCGAUGAAUAUUCUUGUGCUGGGACAAACAAUUUAGGAUUUCACAUUAUUCCCCCAGGUCGCCAUGAUGGUAAGAGGGUGACAGAAACAUUCCAGAAGACAACUGUGAGCAUUUUCCACAUUUCUUGGGCCGCAAUCUUUAAGGAAGAGUCUUCCCUGGAGGUGUGGAUUUUACAGAUCAUCUUGAGUGAGAUCACACAGCAUGUGGGACAAAUGAGGAUCAGGCACAGCCAGCAUGGAUUCAUGAAAGACAGGUCCUGCUUGACCAACCUGAUCUCCUUCUGUGAUUGAGUGACCCACCUGGUGGAGGGAAAGGCUAUUGAUGUAGUCUGUCUAGAUUUCAACAGAGUCUUUGACACUGUCCCCCACAGUAUUUUCCUGGAGAAGCUGGCAGCCUGUGGAGGAGCAGGGAGGUGAUCACCCCCUUGUAGUCAGCUCUGGCGAGGCCGCACCUGGAGUACUGUGUUCAGUUUUGGGCCCCUCACUAC